rnacentral:tRNA from 2 species
GCGUACAUCGUAUAAUGGCUAUUACCUCAGCCUUCCAAGCUGAUGAUCCGGGUUCGAUUCCCGGUGUACGCUCCA